ACAAUGGGGGCCCAAGGUGAGAUGAAGCUGUAAUCUCACUGGAAGGACUAGAGGUUAGAGGAGACCCCCCCGAAAUAAAAAACAGCAUAUUGACGCUGG
rnacentral:lncRNA from 1 species